GACGUAGGGCGCAAGCGUUGUCCGGAUUUAUUGGGCGUAAAGAGCUCGUAGGCGGUUUGUCGCGUCUGCUGUGAAAACUGGAGGCUCAACCUCCAGCCUGCAGUGGGUACGGGCAGACUAGAGUGCGGUAGGGGAGAUUGGAAUUCCUUGUGUAGCGGUGGAAUGCGCAGAUAUCAGGAGGAACACCAAUGGCGAAGGCAGAUCUCUGGGCCGUAACUGACGCUGAGGAGCGAAAGCAUGGGGAGCGAACAGG
rnacentral:rRNA from 1 species